CUAUAAUGCAGUCGAGCGAACAGAGAAGGAGCUUGCUCCUUCGACGUUAGCGGCGGACGGGUGAGUAACACGUGGGCAACCUACCUUAUAGUUUGGGAUAACUCCGGGAAACCGGGGCUAAUACCGAAUAAUCUAUUUUACUUCAUGGUGAAAUACUGAAAGACGGCAUCUCGCUGUCGCUAUAAGAUGGGCCCGCGGCGCAUUAGCUAGUUGGUGAGGUAACGGCUCACCAAGGCGACGAUGCGUAGCCGACCUGAGAGGGUGAUCGGCCACACUGGGACUGAGACACGGCCCAGACUCCUACGGGAGGCAGCAGUAGGGAAUCUUCCACAAUGGGCGAAAGCCUGAUGGAGCAACGCCGCGUGAGUGAAGAAGGUUUUCGGAUCGUAAAACUCUGUUGUAAGGGAAGAACAAGUACAGUAGUAACUGGCUGUACCUUGACGGUACCUUAUUAGAAAGCCACGGCUAACUACGUGCCAGCAGCCGCGGUAAUACGUAGGUGGCAAGCGUUGUCCGGAAUUAUUGGGCGUAAAGCGCGCGCAGGCGGUCCUUUAAGUCUGAUGUGAAAGCCCACGGCUCAACCGUGGAGGGUCAUUGGAAACUGGGGGACUUGAGUGCAGAAGAGGAAAGUGGAAUUCCAAGUGUAGCGGUGAAAUGCGUAGAGAUUUGG
rnacentral:rRNA from 1 species